UAAAGCGCGCGUAGGCGGCUUUUUAAGUCGGAUGUGAAAUCCCCGAGCUUAACUUGGGAAUUGCAUUCGAUACUGGGAAGCUAGAGUAUGGGAGAGGAUGGUAGAAUUCCAGGUGUAGCGGUGAAAUGCGUAGAGAUCUGGAGGAAUACCGAUGGCGAAGGCAGCCAUCUGGCCUAAUACUGACGCUGAGGUACGAAAGCAUGGGGAGCAAACAGGAUUAGAUACCCUGGUAGUCCAUGCCGUAAACGAUGUCUACUAGCCGUUGGGGCCUUUGAGGCUUUAGUGGCGCAGCUAACGCGAUAAGUAGACCGCCUGGGGAGUACGGUCGCAAGACUAAAACUCAAAUGAAUUGACGGGGGCCCGCACAAGCGGUGGAGCAUGUGGUUUAAUU
rnacentral:rRNA from 1 species